GAUGAACGCUGGCGGCGUGCCUAAUACAUGCAAGUCGAGCGAACAGACGAGGUGCUUGCUCCUCUGACGUUAGCGGUGGACGGGUGAGUAACACGUGGAUAACCUACCUAUAAGACUGGGAUAACUUCGGGAAACCGGAGCUAAUACCGGAUAAUCUAUUGAACCGCAUGGUUCAAUAGUGAAAGACGGUUUUGCUGUCACUUAUAGAUGGAUCCGCGCCGCAUUAGCUAGUUGGUAAGGUAACGGCUUACAAAGCUACGAAGUGUAGCCUACCCGGAAGGGGGAUCGGCCACACUGGGACUGAGACACGGUCGAGACGGCUACGGGAGGCGGCAGUAGGGAAUCUACCGAAAUGAGCGAAAGCCUGAAGGAGCAACGCCGCAUGAGUGAUGAAGGCCUACGGAGCGUAGAACGAUGUAAUUAGGGAAGAACAAAUGUGUAAGUAACAAUGAACGUCUUGACGGUACCUAGUCAAGAAGCAACGGCUAAAUACGUG
rnacentral:rRNA from 1 species